AUAAUCAACAUAUAUACAUAGAUAAUAUAUAUAUAUAUAUGAAGGGACGCUGAGAAAUUCCUGGUUUUGAAUACAAGAAAACACAGGAGAAUCAGUUAAUUAUGAUUUUAUUCGACAUGUUCCCCUCUCAGAUUCACAUGCUUAUUGCAGUGGUCCUUUAGUUUUGCUAAGCCCUGUAA